UACGGAGGGUGCAAGCGUUGUUCGGAAUUACUGGGCGUAAAGGGCCUGUAGGCGGCCAACUAAGUCGGAUGUGAAAUCCCCAGGCUUAACCUGGGAACUGCAUCCGAUACUGGAUGGCUUGAAUUCGGGAGAGGGAUGCAGAAUUCCAGGUGUAGCGGUGAAAUGCGUAGAUAUCUGGAGGAAUACCGGUGGCGAAGGCGGCAUCCUGGACCGACAUUGACGCUGAAUGGCGAAAGCUAGGGGAGCAAACGGG
rnacentral:rRNA from 1 species